CUUUUAUGGAGAGUUUGAUCCUGGCUCAGGACGAACGCUGGCGGCGUGCCUAAUACAUGCAAGUCGAGCGAACAGAGAAGGAGCUUGCUCCUUUGACGUUAGCGGCGGACGGGUGAGUAACACGUGGGCAACCUACCUUAUAGUUUGGGAUAACUCCGGGAAACCGGGGCUAAUACCGAAUAAUCUAUUUUACUUCAUGGUGAAAUA
rnacentral:rRNA from 1 species